AUGCUUCCAAGUGGUCGAGAUGAUGCUCAUGAUGUUCCAUUGAGUAGUGGGUGCAAUGUUGGUACCAAAGUUGCUGAUGAGGAUGCUGGUGCUGCCAGCAUACUUGAUGCCAAAUCGCCUGGUGUUGGUAUUGCUGGGAAUGAAAAUGUUUCUGGUUGUGAAGAUUUGCCGCCGGAGAAUUUCCCGCCUGGAGGUCUUGAUUACGGUGAUGCAUUGCAAUAUGCUUCUAGCGUGGAGGAGGUGCCAUCCGAGGAUGAUGAUUUACUUCUGUCAAUUUCUUCUGACCCCUUGACGCAGGAGGCGCUCUUGUCGUCCUAG
rnacentral:rRNA from 1 species